GCUCGCGUGGCGCAAUGGCAACGCGUCUGACUUCUAAUCAGAAGAUUGUGGGUUCGACCCCCACCGUGAGUG
rnacentral:tRNA from 1 species